ensembl:lncRNA MIR4500HG MIR4500 host gene
GGGGGAAGGGGGGGGCGGGCAGCAACCGCGUCGUUCUAUGCCUGUGGCUUGUCCUGGCAGCCCGGUGGCUCUAAAAAAAACUCCGAGAAAGUUGCGUCUUCCUCCCGGGCGCCGAGGAGGUGGCAACGCGAAUUACGUUUUAUAGGUGUGUCUAGGCAACACAAGGGAAUGUGAAAGACUUUCAGAGGGAAUGUUUGUGAAUACAUCUGGUGUGUACUAAAAAGCUGGAAAACCCCUAAGUAAAUGCAAUAUCGAUAGAAAGCGAGUUUCUUGAAGAGUCAUCUGCUAAACUCCACUAGAGUCAUCUCUACAGGUGUGGUUAAGAGAAAAAAAAAUUGCCAUUAAGGAAUCAGCAAAUAGGAUGUCUGAAGUGAGGAUAUAGCACCUAUCUCUGAGAUUAAAGUCAUCUGAUCAAAAAUGAUGCCUCUGAGACUAUAACAAAGGAAUGAAUAAUGAAAUAUAAGAAUGGGGAUUCUGCACUAACUCUAUGGGGAAGAAAACAAUGGUAAGAGCAAAAGGAUCAACAGCAGCAACUCCUGUUUCCAUCGAUUUGUUUAUAAGAUGCCGUCUACAUUAUUCCAAAAUAUCCCAGCCUUUUUCUCCCCUGUCAAGCUUCCCUGUCUCUAAAAGAGAUCUUGCUCUUCCUGCACAGAAAGAAAUAAUAAUAUAUCACUGAAAUAUUAUUAUUACAUUUAAAGUUACUUACACUCUUUCCCAUUCCUAUAAUUUCCUAGUUGGAAGCCCUCGCACUUGGGAAAUUAUUUAAUGUGAUUUUUUCUCCCUGACAUAUAAAUUGUCACAUCACCUUAAAUGUUGGGACUUCAGGUUGGGAAGUGGGUGGAUAAUAUUCUUGAGGAAGCUGCCUUCCUUUUAUAGAUAAUGUUACCUCCUUGUAAAGGUUGCUUUCUAUGUAUUAUUCUACUUUUUUUCUAAGAAUAUACCAUAUAAUGAAAACUUUACAGGCUUGACAUCCUAUUACUAAGAUUAUAAUUGUUGAGGUCUUCAAUAGAAUUUCAAGUCAAAUAUGUUGUGCUAUAUGCCUACUUACAUUUCACUCUUUGAUUCACCUAGUUAGGAUCUCAGAAUUGAACUUUAAUUGCAGAUUUAUUACUUCUUUACUCUCUUCAUGUAUUAAUUUAAAAUUUACUUUUUCCUACCUUCAUCUUGGUUUGAGAAGGUUAUUUCCCUUUCAUUUGAUUUAUUUGUUUUAAUUUACAUGUGCAUAUUUAUUACCUGUAUAUAAGCAAAAUUUAUAGAAGAGGAUAGUAUGAGUUAAUAAAUAAGUAUAUUAUCAGGAUAUUUUCUUUAUAUUUAAUAUAUGUUGUAAUUAAAAUGCACUGUUUAGCUGAACUGUGCCUCCUGGAAACUGUAGCAUUUAAAGACAGCACUAUGUGAAAUAUAAAAUUAUGUUUUUUUUCUCUGUGUCUAUGAUUUAUUGAAGUAAUGUUCUUCAGGAAAAUUUUUUUAAUUUUCAAAUUUAUAAUUGACAUAAUAAUUGUACAUAUUUAUAGGGUACAAUGUGAUGUUUCAAUGCAUGUCGAUAAUAUAACGAUCAAAUUGGAAUAAUUACCAUAUCUAUCACUUUAAACAUUUGUCAUUUUUAUGUGACAGGUGACAGCAUUUAAAAUAUUCUGUUCUAGCUAUCUUGAAAUAUACAGCAAAUUGUAGUUUGCUGUAAUCAUCCUUCUGAAAUUAAUUUUUUCUGAGUUUAGAUUUUCAGAACACCAAACUGGUA